GAUGAAGAACGUAGUGAAAUGCGAUACUUGGUGUGAAUUGCAGAAUCCCGCGAAUCAUCGAGUUUUUGAACGCAAGUUGCGCCCGAAGCCAUUCGGCCGAGGGCACGUCUGCCUGGGUGUCACGCAUCGUUGCCCCCCCAAACUCCGGUUCGGGCGGGGCGGAAGUUGGCCUCCCGUGCGUGCCUGCGCGCGCGGUUAGCCCAAAAGCGAGUCCUCGGCGACGAGCGCCACGACAAUCGGUGGUUUUUUUACCCUCGUUCCUCGUCGUGCGUGUCCCGUCGCCCGAACGCGCUCUUGUGACCCUCACGCGUCGCCUCGGCGGCGCUCCCAACGCGACCCCAGGUCAGGCGGGACUACCCGCUGAGUUUAAGUAUAUCAAUAAGCGGAGGA
rnacentral:misc_RNA from 1 species